GCGAUAGCCUUCUUGACGAAAGCCUUAGCCUCAUCAUUGAGAGCGUUGACCUUGUCCUUGACGAUUUGGUGGAGCUUGGAGGCCUUCUC
rnacentral:sRNA from 1 species